GAUGAACGCUGGCGGCGUGCCUAAUACAUGCAAGUCGAGCGAACGGACGAGAAUCUUGCUUCUCUGAUGUUAGCGGCUGACGGGUGAGUAACACGUGGAUAACCUACCUAUAAUACUUGGAUAACUUCGGGAAACCUGAGCUAAUACCGUAUAAUAUUUUGAACCGCAUGGUUCAAAAGUGAAAGACGGUCUUUCUGUCACUUAUAGAUGUAUCCGCGCUGCAUUAGCUAGUUGGUAAGGUAACGGCUUACCAAGGCAACGAUGCAUAGCCGACCUGAGAGGGGGAGAGGCCAAACUGGAAGUGAGACACGGACAAGAGUACUACGGGAGGCAGCAGUAGGGAAGCUUCCGCAAUGGGCGAAAGCAUGACGGAGCAACGCCGCGUGAGUGAUGAAGGUCUGCGGAUCGUAAAACUAUGUUAUUAGGGAAGAACAGAUGUGUAAGUAACUGUGCACAGCUUGACGGUAACUAAUCAGAAAGCCACGGCUAACUACGUG
rnacentral:rRNA from 1 species